CUUCGGGGUGCCCAGGCGCGAAAACUUUGCAAUACACGAAAGUGUGACAGGGUCAUCCCGAGUGCCGACCGCUGAGGUUGGCUUUUACCCAGUCUAGAAAGCUGGGGGAAUAAGGAGAGGGCAAGUCUGGUGUCAGCCGCCGCGGUAAUACCAGCUCUCCGAGUGGUGUGGACGUUUAUUGGGCCUAAAGCAUCCGUAGCUGGCUGAACAAGUCCCCUGUUAAACCCACCGAUUUAAUCGUUGGUCUGCGGGGGAUACUGCUCGGCUAGGGGACGAGAGAGGCAGACGGUAUUCCCGGGGUAGGGGUGAAAUCCUAUAAUCCCGAGAAGACCACCAGUGGCGAAGGCUGUCUGCUAGAACGCGCCCGACGGUGAGGGAUGAAAGCUGGGGGAGCGAACCGGAUUAGAUACCCGGGUAGUCCCAGCUGUAAACGAUGCAGACUAGGUGUUUGGACGGCCACGUGCCGUUCUAGUGCCGCAGGGAAGCUGUUAAGUCUGCCGCCUGGGGAGUACGAUCGCAAGAUUGAAACUUAAAGGAAUUGGCGGGGGAGCAC
rnacentral:rRNA from 1 species